CACUAUUCUUCCAAUUUUACUCAGGUCCAGCUUGUACUCAAGGGGACAAGAUUAUACAAGGCAUGUGCACCAGGUGGUGGAGAUUUUAGGGACCAUCUUAAAAUUCUUCCUACCACAGAGAAAGACUCAAUAAAUACCAAGGAAGUUUCCUAAGGGAAAGCCAUAUUGGGAGCAGCCCUAAGGAGGAUCCUGUGGUGAGGAACUAAAGUCUCCUGAUGGCAGUAACACAAGUGAGCCUGGAACUUCAAGCCCCAGUUAACUUUCAGACUACAGCCAAGGCCAAUAGCUUGAAUGCAUCUCAUUAGAGAUCUUGAACAAGAACUACCUCAUUCCUACAUUCC